rnacentral:rRNA from 1 species
GAUGAACGCUGGCGGCGUGCCUAAUACAUGCAAGUCGAGCGAACAGACGAGGAGCUUGCUCCUCUGACGUUAGCGGCGGACGGGUGAGUAACAAGUGGAUAACCUACCUAUAAGACUGGGAUAACUUCGGGAAACCGGAGCUAAUACCGGAUAAUAUAUUGAACCGCAUGGUUCAAUAGUGAAAGACGGUUUUGCUGUCACUUAUAGAUGGAUCCGCGCCGCAUUAGCUAGUUGGUAAGGUAACGGCUUACCAAGGCAACGAUGCGUAGCCGACCUGAGAGGGUGAUCGGCCACACUGGAACUGAGACACGGUCCAGACUCCUACGGGAGGCAGCAGUAGGGAAUCUUCCGCAAUGGGCGAAAGCCUGACGGAGCAACGCCGCGUGAGUGAUGAUGGUCUUCGGAUCGUAAAGCUCUGUUAUUAGGGAAGAACAAAUGUGUAAGUAACUAUGCACGUCUUGACGGUACCUAAACAGAAAGCCACGGCUAACUACGUG